CAAGUCUCAAUGCAUCAAUACCAGUAAGUCUUUGACUACUGCUCGCUUGAACUGAUUAAUGCAUAAAUAAUAUAUAACUUUCUGAAGACUGGACGUGGUAAACUAAUAACUGAGCUUUAUAUGCUGUGUAUAUAAAGCAAUAAAAUCGUUUCUGAGAUUAUCUGCUCUUUCAUUUUUGCAUGGAAAAAUGAUAAACACCAUACGAGGAUUCUUUGGGAUCUGUUAAUGUGAAGCUAGAAUGCCAAUGACUUGAAAGUUGACAUUUAGUCAAAGCUCGUGUCUGUUCCCUGCUGAAGUAAAACUUCCGACUAAUCCUUACAAAGUGAAAACAAAUAAAAUCCUGUUUUCUUGAUGGCAACUAAUGUCCAAUUGUCCAACUUUAACAAAAAAUAUAUAUUUUUUAAAUUUCCCUCAGGCUGCCAAAUACAGCUCCAAAUCAAGGCAUUCUGAUAUGCUUCCCAUUUCACCUAUUUGCCCAAAACCAAAUGUAAAACCCGUGGAAUUAUGUCCAACAUAUAUCCCCCACCACACAAUCCUGAUAAUUUUAUAAAAAUACUAUAUUAAUCAGUACUUAGGAAUAGGGUAUUCCUUUUUCUUCUUUUCUUUCUCCUCAUUUUAUGUCUCUCUCUUUAAUUCAUUAGCUGAGUCAAUGUUCAUGAAGUUGAGGGCAAACUCAACUUCACAAAAAUUAAAAACUCAUCAAACCACCAAGCUAGUUUUAUAUAUUAUUGUGUUAUGUAGAAGAACCCUGCUAUCAAGUGUAGCUGAGAAUAUGGAGGAAAGAAAAGAAUGAGAGAAAAGACAGAGAGAAGAGAAAGAAAAGAAUUUAGAGAGAGAAGAAUGAG
rnacentral:misc_RNA from 1 species